rnacentral:rRNA from 1 species
UGUUAGCGGCGGACGGGUGAGUAACACGUGGAUAACCUACCUAUAAGACUGGGAUAACUUCGGGAAACCGGAGCUAAUACCGGAUAAUAUUUUGAACCGCAUGGUUCAAAAGUGAAAGACGGUCUUGCUGUCACUUAUAGAUGGAUCCGCGCUGCAUUAGCUAGUUGGUAAGGUAACGGCUUACCAAGGCAACGAUGCAUAGCCGACCUGAGAGGGUGAUCGGCCACACUGGAACUGAGACACGGUCCAGACUCCUACGGGAGGCAGCAGUAGGGAAUCUUCCGCAAUGGGCGAAAGCCUGACGGAGCAACGCCGCGUGAGUGAUGAAGGUCUUCGGAUCGUAAAACUCUGUUAUUAGGGAAGAACAUAUGUGUAAGUAACUGUGCACAUCUUGACGGUACCUAAUCAGAAAGCCACGGCUAACUACGUGCCAGCAGCCGCGGUAAUACGUAGGUGGCAAGCGUUAUCCGGAAUUAUUGGGCGUAAAGCGCGCGUAGGCGGGUUUUUAAGUCUGAUGUGAAAGCCCACGGCUCAACCGUGGAGGGUCAUUGGAAACUGGAAAAC